AGAGAUCAGUGUGAGAGAGACACAGCCUUUCGUCGCCUCUGGGGGGCGCCCCAGUUGGGCGGGGAAUGGAGCCUGCCCCUGAGGUCUGGAGUCAAUGUGGACACUCAUUCCUCUUAAAACGUUCAAGAGGAAUUAAGGCUGAAAAUUUGUCUGACGUUGCUUAGUAACCUGAGUACACACCAAAUUAACCUCCAUCUUUAGCUCAUGCUCUUGAGAGAGGGCAGACUUUUAACCAAGAGGAUCACGACUGAAGUGGUUUGCCAACAUUAUGACCACUGGAGCUAAAAAAGAGUGUCCCGUCUGCCUUGGCUUGGCUUAAGGCCACCAGAGGCACAGCUGGAGUUGUGCUCACCACAGCAGCCAGGUUUUUGGUGUUGACAGUGGUGUUGGUGGUGGGGGUGUGUUUUGCUUGUAUGGACCACAAGAACUUAUAUAAUCUCCAUUGCUUUGUAUUGGGAUUUGGGGCAUGAUUCCUCAUGAACAGCCUAGAGCACCCCAGUGACAAGCAUCUGCAACUCAGGGAAGAUGUCACCAGGGAGCCUGUUUAGCUUGUUAGGGUUUAAAUUCUAGCAAUCUUUUGCCCUGUAUUAUUUUUUUUAAUUAAAUUUAUUGAUGUAACACUGGUUAAUAA